rnacentral:rRNA from 1 species
AUUGAACGCUGGCGGCAGGCCUAACACAUGCAAGUCGAACGGACCCUUCGGGGUUAGUGGCGGACGGGUGAGUAACACGUGGGAACGUGCCUUUAGGUUCGGAAUAGCUCCUGGAAACGGGUGGUAAUGCCGAAUGUGCCCUUCGGGGGAAAGAUUUAUCGCCUUUAGAGCGGCCCGCGUCUGAUUAGCUAGUUGGUGAGGUAAUGGCUCAUCAAGGCGACGAUCAGUAGCUGGUCUGAGAGGAUGACCAGCCACACUGGGACUGAGACACGGCCCAGACUCCUACGGGAGGCAGCAGUGGGGAAUCUUGCGCAAUGGGCGAAAGCCUGACGCAGCCAUGCCGCGUGAAUGAUGAAGGUCUUAGGAUUGUAAAAUUCUUUCACCGGGGACGAUAAUGACGGUACCCGGAGAAGAAGCCCCGGCUAACUUCGUGCCAGCCGCCGCGGUAA